CUUCUGCUCUUCCAGGGGACAGAUCCGCGUGGGACAGCUCACACGUGUUUGAAACUACCCCACCAGGAUCCCCUGGCUCUCUCCCCGCCUCUGGGAGACCGAAUUCAGGUGCACACUCUUCAAUUCUCGACUACCCACCCCAAACCCAUGUAAUUAUAAAAAUAAGGAAUAAAAUCUUUUUUAAAAGUCGCCGUGAAAAUGACGUUUCGCUGACUUCUCUGCGCACACUUCCACUAACAAGGUCAGGACAAGAGUUUCCAGCAUGGACUCUGUCUGGGCCUCGUGUUGUCAUCUUUCCCCGUAGGGACUGUGUGUACGGUGCAUCUCCGUCCUAAAGCCCUCUGUCCGGAAGCCCUCCGUCCUGUAGCACAGCACAGGUUCCUUCAGGGCUCUCCUACAGCUGGCCCUGUUGCUUAGCAGCUGAUCGUAGACUUGUACUGGCACCAGCUUGGAACGCAUGCUGUCUGCAGUUGAGGCAAAGGCAGUCUCUUGCCCGGUGUCAGCCUGAAGCAAAUUCCGUGUGGAGGGUCCUCAGUGCUCAUCGUCUUUUUUGAAAUGGAAUGGAGGCUGACGUGUCUCAUUGUCAAAGAGCGAACAAACAAACAAAACACAUUUUGAUCAAUAAAACAUUUUUAAAUGCCA